rnacentral:rRNA from 1 species
GAUGAACGCUAGCUACAGGCUUAACACAUGCAAGUCGAGGGGAAACGAUAUUGGAAGCUUGCUUCCGAUAGGCGUCGACCGGCGCACGGGUGAGUAACGCGUAUCCAACCUGCCCACCACUUGGGGAUAACCUUGCGAAAGUAAGACUAAUACCCAAUGACGUCUCUAGAAGACAUCUGAAAGAGAUUAAAGAUUUAUCGGUGAUGGAUGGGGAUGCGUCUGAUUAGCUGGUUGGCGGGGUAACGGCCCACCAAGGCUACGAGCAGUAGGGGUUCUGAGAGGAAGGUCCCCCACAUUGGAACUGAGACACGGUCCAAACUCCUACGGGAGGCAGCAGUGAGGGAUAUUCGUCAAUGGGCGGGAGCCUGAACCAGCCAAGUAGCGUGCAGGAGGACGGCCCUAUGGGUUGUAAACUGCUUUUAUAAGGGAAUAAAGUGAGUCUCGUGAGACUUUUUGCAUGUACCUUAUGAAUAAGGACCGGCUAAUUCCGUGCCAGCCGCCGCAGUAA